AUUGAACGCUGGCGGCAGGCCUAACACAUGCAAGUCGAGCGGAGCGGCGGACGGGUGCGUAAUGCCUAUGAAUCUGCCUGGUAGUGGGGGAUAACGUCCGGAAACGGGCGCUAAUACCGCAUACUAUCAGAUUAGCCUAGGUGGGAUUAGCUAUUUGGUGGGGUAAAGGCCGACCAAGGCGACGAUCCGUAACUGGUCUGAGAGGAUGAUCAGUCACACUGGAACUGAGACACGGGCCAGACGCCUACGGGAGGCAGCAGUGGGGAAUAUUGGACAAUGGGCGAAAGCCUGAUCCAGCCAUGCCGCGUGUGUGAAGAAGGUCUUCGGAUUGUAAAGCACUUUAAGUUGGGAGGCGGUACCAACAGAAGAAGCACCGGCUAACUCCGUGCCAGCAGCCGCGGUAAUUC
rnacentral:rRNA from 1 species